rnacentral:rRNA from 1 species
GCGAUUAUACCAGCACUAAUGCACCGGAUCCCCAUCAGAACUCUGCAGUUAAGCGUGCUUGGGCGAGAGUAGUACUAGGAUGGGUGACCCCCUGGGAAGUCCUCGUGUUGCAACCC